ACAUGGAUAUUCUCCCUGUUCUGACUCUGUGAUGAUUUGUAAAUGCUAAACAGCUGCUGCUCAAAGACCAUGCAUGUGUCUCAGACCUACUACUUUUCUUAGAUUGGGUUUUCUCAAUGCUGGUGACAGGU